CCGGCAGGAUGAUUACAACUAUUGAGGGCGUGGCCAGGUAGGUAAUUAUUGGGUUUUUAAGCAGGCACCUAGAAGGGUACCUAGAGAUGGGGUCCGAUCUUUUCGUGUGGAAGCGCGUUGCCUCGUAGUGGUGUUUGUGCACAGAUAUGGUCUGAAUGAGCAGAUGUAAAUAUUGUGCUGCUUGGUACCGCUUCCGUGUUGGCUUGCGUAUGGACACUGUUUGGGUGAACAGGUGUAAACAUUGUGGCUUUAGCGGCUGCUGGUCACGCCCGUCCUCGUUUGAUCUCGGACAUUGGUUCAUGGCUGUGUUUGAUUCAUGGCUUGAGUUGCAGGUUUAGUUGAUCGCUGUUUCUCCUAUGUUUGUUUGUGUUUUGUUUUUGUUUUCCUCGCUAGCCUGUCCGUGCAUGUGCGCGCUGUAUGCCUCCAUCGCAAUUAUAGUUGAUGAUUGUUGUAUGAACUGGACUGGCUAGUGGGUUUCUCUUUUUUUGCAUUUUUCAUUUUUUUUCUUCUUUUUACUUGUAUCACUUCCCAGCCUCGUGUUGCCAGCCAACCUCUAUAUUCCCUAAAUAAGACUGAUGCUUUAACACACAUGAACCAUUUUUUUUUUUGCAUGUGGUUUAUGCUUGCAGUGUAAUUAUCUGAGUGUUUUUUUGAGUGUUGUAUUUAUUUCAUGAUUUUUUGGGGUUGUUAAUGUGAUUUACUUUACUUUUUCUUUCAAAUUGUUCUGUGUAAAGAAGCUGGCUUGUGUUGGGAUUCGGAGAGGGUUGGCUGGUCAGUAAUAUCUUUUUUUGCGGGGGGAAGGAACUUUUGUCAUAUGUAUUUUGUUGUAUUUAUUGAUUUAUUUGUAUAAA